rnacentral:misc_RNA from 1 species
UUUCCGUAGGUGAACCUGCGGAAGGAUCAUUACAGAGUUCAUGCCCUCACGGGUAGAUCUCCCACCCUUGAAUAUUUAUACCUUAGUUGCUUUGGCAGGCCGUGGAAAUACCAUGGGCUCCGGCUUAUGCGUGCCUGCCAGAGGAAACAAACUCUGUUUUUAGUGAUGUCUGAGUACUAUAUAAUAGUUAAAACUUUCAACAACGGAUCUCUUGGUUCUG